GGUCAAGUUAAAAAGAGCACUAGGAGAAUGCCUAGGCACCAAGAGGCGAUGAAGGACGUGACAAGCUGCGAAAAGCUACGAAGAGGAGCAAAUAUCUUAUGACUCGUAGAUAUCCGAAUGGGGAAACCCACCGCAAGGUAUCCUAUAACCAAUUCAUAACUAUAGGAAGCGAACCAGGUGAACUGAAACAUCUAAGUAACCUGAGGAAAAGAAAGAAAACUCGAUUCCCAAAGUAGCGGCGAGCGAACAGGGAAGAGCCCAAAGUGUAAAAAGAGAAAAUAGCUAGUCGAAUAAUCUGGGAAGAUAAACCAAAGAAGGUAACAGUCCUGUAGACGAAAGCGAAAAUAUCCGACACAAAAGAGUACCACGGAACACGAGAAAUUCGGUGGGAACAUGGGGGGACCACCCCCUAAGGCUAAAUACUACUUGGUGACCGAUAGCGAACAAGUACCGUGAGGGAAAGGUGAAAAGAACCCCGGGAGGGGAGUGAAAUAGAAUCUGAAACCUAGUGUUUACAAGCAGCGAAAGUGGCAUAAGCCACGAUCGUGUACUUUUUGUAGAACGGGCCAGCGAGUUACGAUUAUUAGCAAGGUUAAACAUUACAGAUGUGGAGCCGCAGCGAAAGCGAGUCUUAAUAGGGCAGAAGUUAAUAGUCGUAGACCCGAAACCGUGUGAUCUAUCCAUGGGCAGAGUGAAGUUGAAGUAAAAUUCAAUGGAGGCUCGAACCGGGUAGCGUUUAAAAGCUAUCGGAUGACCUGUGGAUAGGGGUGAAAAGCCAAACGAACACGGAGAUAGCUGGUUCUCCUCGAAAUAGCUUUAGGGCUAGCCUCUAGUGGAAACGUGAAAAGGGGGUAGAGCACUGAAUGGUCAAGGGGCAUGCAUAUGUUACCGAGACCUAUCAAACUCCGAAUACCAUAUCACGCACUAGGGAGUCAGACUAUGUGGGAUGAGCUUCAUAGUCGAAAGGGAAAGAGCCCAGACCAUCAGCUAAGGUCCCAAAAUUAUAGUUAAGUGGGAAAGGAUGUGGAGUUACUGAGACAACUAGGAUGUUGGCUUAGAAGCAGCCACUCAUUCAAAGAGUGCGUAAUAGCUCACUAGUCAAGUGACUCUGCGCCGAAGAUAACCGGGGCUAAACUAUAUACCGAAGCUAUGGAACGUAUAACGUUGGUAGAGGAGCAAUGUAUGAAGGACGAAGCAGAAGUCGUAAGGCACUGUGGACACCAUACAAGAGAGAAUGCUGGCAUGAGUAGCGAGAGGUGAGUGAGAAUCUCACCCGUCGAAAACCCAAGGAUUCCUGAGCAAGGCUCGUCCACUCAGGGUAAGUCGGGACCUAAGGCGAGGCUGAAAAGCGUAGUCGAUGGACAACAGGUUGAAAUUCCUGUACCGAUACAAUCAUUAAAGGAAGUGGGGACGCAGGAGGAAAGUAAGAGCGCCCAGUUGGUGAGGCGUGCAAGCGCAAAGUCUGGAAAGUAGGCAAAUCCGCUUUCCGAAAAGGAUGAAGCGUGAUGCGGAUCGAAAACAAGUAGAGAAGCUUACGAAUCCACACUGCCGAGAAAAGCCACUACAAGAGAAGUAUCGCCCGUACCGUAAACCGACACAGGUAGGUGAGGAGAGAAUCCUAAGACGAGCGGAAAAACCUUUGUUAAGGAACUCGGCAAAAUGACCCCGUAACUUCGGGAGAAGGGGAGCCCCUGUAACAGGGGGCCGCAGUGAAAAGGCCCAAGCGACUGUUUACCAAAAACACAAGUUUCUGCAAAGUCGAAAGACGAAGUAUAGGAGCUGACACCUGCCCGGUGCUGGAAGGUUAAGGGAAAAAGUUAGCGCAAGCGAAGCUUAGAACUGAAGCCCCAGUAAACGGCGGCCGUAACUAUAACGGUCCUAAGGUAGCGAAAUUCCUUGUCGGGUAAGUUCCGACCCGCACGAAAGGUGUAACGAUUUGGG
rnacentral:rRNA from 1 species